GUGCCUCAAUCUAUUGAGUAAGGAAAUUAUUGGGCCUUGGUGAUUCUCGGCUUAUGCCCAAAGGGCGAAUGGAUUUUUGAGUGGGUACAGGUCGUCCCUUUGAGCUGCUAGCCUACUUUGCAGGCGGCUCGGGUGAAGCGAUCUGCCUG